rnacentral:rRNA from 1 species
AUACGGAAGGUCCGGGCGUUAUCCGGAUUUAUUGGGUUUAAAGGGAGCGCAGGCGGAGAUGCAAGCGUGACGUCAAAUUUCGGGGCUCAACCCCGUCUCGCGUCGCGAACUGCGUCCCUUGGUUGCGGGAAGGGGAGGCGGAACUCGUGGUGUAGCGGUGAAAUGCAUAGAUAUCACGAAGAACUCCGAUCGCGAAGGCAGCCUUCCGGCCCGUCAACGACGCGCAUGCUCGAAGGGGCGGGUAUCAAACAGGAUUAGAUACCCUGGUAUUCCGCACAGUAAACGAUGGACACCCGCGGUGUGACCUGUAUGGCUGAGCCGCCAAGCGAAAACGUUAAGUGUCCCACCUGGGGAGUACGCCGGCAACGGUGAAACUCAAAUGAAUUGACGGGG